rnacentral:rRNA from 1 species
GUUCGGGCAGUAGCAGUCAGAGACGUCGGAAGUUUGAGGGGACCUGUCCUUAGUACGAGGGGACCGGGGUGGACAUACCUCUGGUGUACCAGUUGUCGUGCCAACGGCAUAGCUGGGUAGCUAUGUAUGGACGGGAUAAGUGCUGAAAGCAUCUAAGCAUGAAGCCCCCCUCGAGAUGAGAUUUCCCAACUUCGGUUAUAAGAUCCCUCAAAGAUGAUGAGGUGAAUAGGUUCGAGGUGGAAGCGUAGCGAUACGUGGAGCUGACGAAUACUAAUCGAUCGAAGACUUAAUCAAU